GGAUAGCUCAGUUGGUUAGAGCAGGGUGUUGAUAAUGCCAAGGUCAUGGGUUCAAUCCCUGUAUGGGACA